CGCGUGUCCGGUCAUUGAGGUUCCGGGGAGGGGGACAGGAAGGAGAGGGCGGUCGCCAUCCUCCUCGCGGCACGGCGCACGUGUGCUGCUGUAGCUACUCGCUGUAGCUGCUGUUGCUGCUGCUGCUCGCGACUUGACCGCACGCUCGCUCGCGAUGAAUCACAGGAGCAGGAAGCGAAUCCGCGAGGCGAAGAACAACGCGAGGCCGGAGCUGCGUGAGCCCGGCGCGUGGAAUCGCCAGGGGCUGCGCGAAGCUUGGGAGCUGCGAGGAGUGCGUGGAGCCGUACAGGAUAACGUGGAGAGGAUCGAUGCUGAGCUCGUUUCAGUGGAAGAGUUUAUCGAGAAGUUCGAGAGGCUGUACAAGCCCUGUGUGCUGCUCAAUUGCCAGAAGACGUGGGCAGCGAAUGAGAAAUGGACACUGGAUCGUCUCAAGAGGAAAUACAGAAACCAAAAGUUUAAAUGCGGCGAGGACAAUGACGGCUACUCGGUCAAGCUGAAGAUGAAGUACUACAUAGAUUACAUGGAGACUACGAAUGACGACAGCCCACUGUACAUCUUUGAUAGCAGCUUUGGAGACCAUGCCAAGAAAGGAAAGCUUCUGGAGGAUUAUGAGAUCCCAGUGUUUUUUAAAGAUGAUCUUUUUAAGUACACUGGGGAAAAGCGAAGACCACCCUACAGGUGGUUUGUGAUGGGUCCUGCAAGGUCAGGAACAGGAAUUCACAUUGAUCCACUGGGCACGAGUGCCUGGAACGCGCUGGUGAAAGGGCACAAGCGCUGGUGUCUGUUUCCGACCAAUACACCCCGUGAACUAAUCAAAGUGGCACGGGAAGAGGGAGGCAUCCAGCAAGACGAGGCCAUCACGUGGUUUAGUGUCAUCUACCCGCGCACACAAGAGCCCUCCUGGCCGCCAGAGUUCAGGCCACUCGAGAUCCUGCAGAAGCCUGGAGAAACAGUGUUUGUCCCAGGUGGAUGGUGGCAUGUUGUCCUCAACCUCGAAAACACAAUUGCAGUGACCCAAAACUUUGCAAGCGUCACAAACUUCCCAGUGGUUUGGCAUAAAACUGUCAGGGGACGACCGAAGCUCUCCAGAAAGUGGUACAGACCCCUGGGGGAUUCACAGAAUCUUAAAGCAGGAGUUCCCAGAUCUGGCAGCGGUGGCUGACUCCGUGAACCUCCAGCAGUCGACAGGAUUUGCCUCGGACUCCUCCAGUGACUCCUCCUCCUCCAGCUCUUCGAGUUCUUCUGAUUCGGGCUCUGAGAAUAUUGGAAACGGAGAAGGAAUGACGCACAAGAGAAAGAGAUUAAAAUCUUCCACAGAUCGAAGUGUUGUCAAUGACAAGGAUUGUGGACUAAAAUCUGAGCGAAAUACCAGAAGAUAACUUUUUUGCAUAUCGCAUACACGACUGCGGUUUCUGAAGAAUUUGCAAUGAUAAAACAUUCAAUGAUUAUCGUUCAGCAUGUAGUGUGCUAACAUUUGUAUUGAACUUCAAGAAAUCCCUCUGAGUAUUUGUAAUUAAUGUAUGGCAUUUAAACUUAAAAAAAAAAUAUUUUUAAGCAAUAAGUUGAGAAAACAACAUUUAAUUGAUCACAAAUACAUUUGAAUGUAUUUUUCAAUUUGUUUGGUUUGUUUAUUAAGUUACCACAGUCCAUUACGGUUGAGAUGUUAUCUGUUAUCAAUCACUUAGAUGGGGUGGCCCCUUUAGAUUAUCACAUUUUUUGCAUAAGAAGUCUUUAUAUUUGCAAUUUAAAAAUUUUCUUUAUCAACGUCAUAAUUUGCUGUAUAUGGAUAAUAGAGUUAAUUUGCUGUUUGACUUUUCUCAUGGUGAAAUAUCUGGAAUAAAAUAUGCGGAAUUUG